AACGAACGCUGGCGGCAGGCCUAACACAUGCAAGUCGAGCGCGAAAGUUCUUCGGAAUGAGUAAAGCGGCGGACGGGUGAGUAAUACAUGGGAAUCUGCCUGGUAGUGGGGGACAACGUUUCGAAAGGAACGCUAAUACCGCAUACGCCCGUACGGGGGGAAAGGGGGGAUCUUCGGACCUCUCGCUAUCAGAUGAGCCC
rnacentral:rRNA from 1 species